AUUGAACGCUGGCGGCAUGCCUUACACAUGCAAGUCGAACGGUAACAGGUCUUCGGAUGCUGACGAGUGGCGAACGGGUGAGUAAUACAUCGGAACGUGCCUAGUAGUGGGGGAUAACUACUCGAAAGAGUGGCUAAUACCGCAUGUGAUCUACGGAUGAAAGCAGGGGAUCGCAAGACCUUGUGCUACUAGAGCGGCCGAUGGCAGAUUAGGUAGUUGGUGGGAUAAAAGCUUACCAAGCCGACGAUCUGUAGCUGGUCUGAGAGGACGAUCAGCCACACUGGGACUGAGACCAGGCCCAGAGUCCUCCGGGAGGGAGCAGUGGGGAAUUUUGGACAAUGGGCGCAAGCCUGAUCCAGCAAUGCCGCGUGCAGGAUGAAGGCCUUCGGGUUGUAAACUGCUUUUGUACGGAACGAAAAGCCCUGGGUUAAUACCCUGGGGUCAUGACGGUACCGUAAGAAUAAGCACCGGCUAACUACGUGCCAGCAGCCGCCGUAA
rnacentral:rRNA from 1 species